AAUAAACGAAUUUUCGAGUUUUUGGAUAGAAUUAUUGACUCUUCGUCUUAUUUGAAUUUUUUAUAAUUAAUAUUUUUAUUGUUACUACAUGAUAAAAUAUAAAUAUUACUUUACGUGCGACUAAUUUUUUUUAAUUUUUUAAUAUUUUUUUUAAAUAAGACGGAUGGUUAAAUGCUCGAACUAUAAAACCCAGAAAUCCUCUUUUU
rnacentral:pre_miRNA from 1 species